CUGACUUCAUUGCAUAAUGCAGUAGCAACUGGAUUUGCAGCAGAAACACCCUGCUAAAGAACAAGUAUCUUGGUUCACAGCAAAGAGGACAAAGGAAAACAGCAAGUUAUAGGGAGUUGAAUGCUGGAUUACAUCAGGGAAAGGAGCUGAUUUCCACAUCUGGAUUGACCAAGGGCAGAAUAGGAACAACAAAGAAAGGAGAGGAAGAUGAUUCACACACUGAAUUAAUUGCAUAGAAGAAAGGGUUCAGAGCCAAAGAUGAAUAUAAGCAUAAAAUCCACCCCCAGGAAUUCACCAGAAUUUUGUGGAAGGAGGCUGCACAGGUUUCUGAGCUGAAGAGCAUGAUGGCAUUUAUUUUGGAAAGAUAAUUGCAUUUGGGAGGAGGAUGACAACAAAAGAGGAGGAAUUGAUGGCUAACACUUGCAUGGUAAUAAAUGUACCAGGUACAUUCUAAGUUUCCCACAUGUUAACUACUCAAGACAAUCCCAAGAGUGAAUCCAGGAGCUGGCCUGCUGUUUCAACAAGGUAGCCAUUUCUAAGCAAUAAAAAACCCCAAAAACCCAGAAGACAAAAAUACCCCUCCACAAACAUAAAGAAAUACUGUGGUAUUAUGGUCAUCAGAGCCUGUGUGGCACUGCCCACAAGUCCUUGGUGGGUUCUGGAGCUGUCCAAGGUUCCAAAGUUCCAGGGAGGGAGCCUGCAGCAGUCAGAGGGCUCUGGGCUCUGCUUCAACUCAGUACUGUGAGAAGAAAGUUACCUAGGAAGCCAAAUUACAAGCAGUGGAUUUGUUGGGUUAGCUCACCUUCACAAUUAUUUAUUUGUGGGAGUCGUGUGAUCUGAGUUCUUUUCAAGGCUUUUCACCCUGAGUACCUCAACCUACUUCUCACUAUGCACCACCCUGCUAUAUGGAGCUACUCCUGUAAGAGUCAACAGACAUGAUGCAGAUGUGUUCUCCUUGGAGAGUGAAUGAAAUAUGUGAACAUGAGCAUUUGGAGUUCCCCAAAAAGAUAUGUCGAAGUCUUAUGCAAUAUCUGCGAAUUAUGACUUUUACUGGAGAUAAUUUCUUUGUAGAUGUAAUCAAGUUAAGAUGAGGUCAUUACAGUGGCCCCUAAUCCAGUAUGUUUAUUGUCCUCAUUAGAAGUGGCAAAUGAUAUGUGAAGUCCUAGACACACGAGGAGAAUGCUGUGUGAUGACAGAGGCAAACACUGGAAUGAUGUGGCUACAAGGCAAGGAAUACUAAGGAUCCAUGGCUUCUUCUAGAAUUUAUGAAGAAGCAAGGGAAGAUUUUCCCCUUCAGCUUCAGGGAGACCACAGCACUGCCAACAACUCCAAUUCAGACUUCUGGCCUCCAGGAUUGUGAGACAAUAGAUUUCUGUUGCUUUAAGGCACUCAGUUUGUGGUGCUUUGUUACAGCAGCCCUAGGAAACUAAUAUAGGUCCUUUAGGGAAGCCUUGACUUUCUGCAUUAAUGAGCAUUGGCAUCUCUUAAGCCUUUGCACACAGCGAAGAUCACAAAAUCCUGUCAUCAGACUUGAAAACCUUUUAAGAUGAAUACCUAUGAGCUUCCAUUUUUUUGUUCUUUUUUCCUCAUAAGUGGUCGCCUUUUCUUAGGCUUCAGGAGAGAAUCUUCUCAUUCAGUGAGGAAAUGAGAUUGCCCACCUUUUUCUUCACUCAGUCUGGCUCACUGAUGAGGAGAGACUUUGGGCCACUGCCCCAUCUACCUCCCAUGGCAUCUCUCUCCUGCCAGCCUGGGAGUACAGCAAGAGAUAAAAUGUGGAGAUGGUUUAAGAAGAUGUGGCAGCUUACCACUUUGUUCCCAUCAAAUUUUUCCUUUAAGAUAUUUUCACCCAGCUUCUCUACAUGCUAUAUCCGUGAUGAGUCAAGCAAGAGGAACUGCCUGCAUUUCCUUUGGGGUUCACCACCCUUAUACUUUAAUAACAGCAUAUGCUGGCCCACUGCAUUCUUUUCAUAGAUAACAGCUCUACUACAGCAUCCCACUACUCUCUGGUAGAAGUCAACUUUUAUGGAUUGCUUUAAAAUGACUUGGAGUGGGAGAAAAGUAGAAUCAUUCUGCUCUUUUUAUAAAGGUCAGACUGACUGGCUGCCUCAAAUAAUCACACUUAUUUUACUUAGUCAUUUUUUCCCAAGCAAGUACGAAUAUAUUUCUGAUUUCAUUUUCUCUCUGGUGACCCCCAUCCACCCACUUACCACCCUUUCUACUUAGUGUUUUCCCCUGCUGCCUCGCCCAUCUAUCUGCUUCCAAUCAAUUUCCAAAAGAAAGCUUUGCAUAAAAGAUGUGCCUAUUAAUUACAAUUUUAAGAAUUGUAGAUGAUGGAAAAUAUGGCAAAAAAUAAAAACUCUCAACUAUGAGUCUUUGGGAGUGUGGUGGUACCAGGAGUGAAGAGUAGGUGCCUUUACAUCUCAGAGCAUGCACCCUCUCUGCCUUCCCUUCAGUCGUGCCCACUUAGUGCCUUGACAUGAGCUCUGGGUUCCCUAUGUCUCACAUCCUCUUCCAGUACAAUUGGUCCCCAUUAUCCUUUUUGAUUUCAUAUUAGCUCUUUUAUUUUGUACACAAGGCGAUAAAUGAUGAAUAAAUGUACAGGGUCUUCCUCUUUCAUAUGGCGUCAAACCCUGACUCUAUUAGCUGUCAGCAAUUUCUUUAACUUCUUUAGCUCUGAUCAAUUUUUUAUCUGUAAAGUAGGAAUGGUCACACCUCCAUUGCUUACCUGGUAUAAAAAUUAAAUAACAAUGUUCAUUCUUGGCCUUGAACAAGCAUUCAUUAAAACAGGUAACUGAGGGGAUCCCUGGGUGGCUCAGUGGUUUAGCACCUGCCUUUGGCCCAGGGCGAUAUCCUGGAGUCCUGGGAUCGAGUCCCACAUCGGGCUCCCG